AGCGUUGUUCGGAAUUACUGGGCGUAAAGCGCGCGUAGGCGGANAUUUAAGUCAGAGGGUGAAAAUCCCGGGGCUCAACCUCAGGAACUGCCUUUGAUACUGNCAGUCUGAGUACGGGAGAGGUGAGUGGAAUUCCCGAGUGUAGAGGUGAAAUUCGUAGAUAUUCGGANGAACACCAGUGGCGAAGGCGACUCCCUGGCCCGUUACUGACGCUGAGGCGCGAAAGCGUGGGGAGCAAACAGGAUUAGAUACCCUGGGUAGUCCACGCCGUAAACGAUGUAUGCUAGCCAGUUG
rnacentral:rRNA from 1 species